rnacentral:rRNA from 1 species
UAAGGAAUAUUGGUCAGUGGACGCAAGUCUGAACCAGCCAUGCCGCUUGAAGGAUUAAGGCCCUCUGGGUUGUAAACUUCUUUUAUAGGGGAAGAAAUGUGACGGUUCUCCGUCACUUGACGGUACCCUGGGAAUAAGCACCGGCUAACUCCGUGCCAGCAGCCGCGGUAAUACGGCGGGUGCAAGCGUUAUCCGGAUUCACUGGGUUUAAAGGGUGCGUAGGUGGGCAGGUAAGUCAGUGGUGAAGUCUUCCGGCUUAACCGGGAAACUGCCGUUGAUACUAUUUGUCUUGAAGAUUGCGGAGGUAAGCGGAAUAUGUCAUGUAGCGGUGAAAUGCUUAGAUAUGACAUGGAACACCAAUUGCGAAGGCAGCUUACUACACAAUCAUUGACACUGAGGCACGAAAGCGUGGGUAGCGAACA